rnacentral:rRNA from 1 species
GAAAAUUACAGGCAUAAGCUCGAUACUUAAAGGGCUUGGCGGCGCUUUAGAUCCACCUAGAGGAGCCUGUCCUAUAACCUAUAACCCCCGUUAAACCUUACCUUCUUUUGCCCCCAGCCUAUAUACCGCCGUCGUCAGCUUACCCUUUGAAGGGCUCAUAGUGAGCAAGCUCGGUCAAGCCCCAGACGUCAGGUCGAGGUGUAGCAUAUGAGAAGCGAAGAGAUGGGCUACAUUUCCUACACUAAGGAUCACGAAUAAUGUUUUGAAACAAACAUAUUGAAGCAGGAUUUAGCAGUAAGUAAAAAAUAGAGAGUUUUUCUGAAGCCGGCCCUUAAGCGCGCACACACCGCCCGUCCCCCUCUCCUAAUUUUCACACUAUCUUUUACCUAAAACCUUAAAAGAACAGAGGAGAGACAAGUCGUAACAUGGUAAGUAUACUGGAAAGUGUACUUGGACAAAU